rnacentral:rRNA from 1 species
GGAUGACCUCGGAUCAGGUAGGGAUACCCGCUGAACUUAAGCAUAUCAAUAAGCGGAGGAA